UUUCUGGUGAUAUAAGCCUAUGGAGUGAUUGUUUUGCUGAACUAGCAGAACUCUAUACAGUUACAGGGAAUAUUCAUCUGAGAUAUUUGUACGGAACUGCCAAUAUACUAGUUAAACAGCAGGGUAACGUUUCAGUCAAUCUUGUAGAGGGGAGUCUAGUGGCCAUUGUAAAAACCGGUUCUAUGUUUGUGAACGUUGAAGAACUAACUGAGGAAAGUAGACUUACUUUAUAUUUUAGUUUUUU